rnacentral:tRNA from 1 species
GCCUGGGUAGCUCAGUCAGUUAAGCUUCUGACUUCAGCUCAGGUCAUGAUCUCAUGGUUUGUGAGUUCAAGCCCCACAUCGGGCU